rnacentral:lncRNA from 1 species
GCCGAUUAGCUUUUCAUUUAAAAUUAUUUUGGACUUGUAAAUUAUGUUAUAAGUUAAAAUUUUGAGUGUAAAUAUUUUUAUUUUUUUUCCUGAACACACGUGAGAGCUUGUAUCAUUGUAUUCAGAAGAAAACAGGAAAGAGCCCGUACAACACACCCCAACAGACCUAAGAUGUUAUAAGUUUUUUAAUUUUUUAAUAAAACCUCGGAUGGACAAAUGAGCUAAACAAAAGUUAUAAUACCUAAAGAGAUAUGCAACUCUGUAUUUGACUACUUUUUUAUAUGAAACCAUUUAGUAUCCACAAAUUUUGUAUUAAAUUUUCACCCUCCGAAAUUCAUUUUUUUCAAAAGAUCAUGAAUAAGAAACAACCUAAACCAAAGUUGUAGUACUCAAAUGGAUGUGAAGCUUUUUUUAAUGACCAUGGAUAACCUGGAAGUUCUAAUUAAAAUUUUUAGAUUUUUAAAAUUUAAAUGUUCUUUGAAAGAUGGAGAAGCUACCCAAACCCAAGCUAUU